AGAGAGAGACAUGCGCUCAUAUCAAUAAGCGGAGGAAAAGAAACUAACAAGGAUUCCCCUAGUAACGGCGAGUGAAGCGGGAAGAGCUCAAAUUUGAAAUCUUAAAGGGUUUCCCUUUACGAAUUGUAGUUUAAAGAAGUGUUUUCUGUUGAGGCUUUGGUAAAAGUUCUUUGGAAUAGGACAUCAUAGAGGGUGAGAAUCCCGUAUUUGACCUUUACUUUCAACUUUGUGAUACACUUUCAAAGAGUCGGAUUGUUUGGGAAUGCAGUCCAAAAUGGGUGGUAAAUUUCAUCUAAAGCUAAAUAUUGGCGAGAGACCGAUAGCGAACAAGUACCGUGAGGGAAAGAUGAAAAGAACUUUGAAAAGAGAGUUAAACAGUACGUGAAAUUGUCAAAAGGGAAGCGUUUGACACCAGUGUUGUUUUUCUGAAAAUCAAUUAAAGAACUGUUUAUGCUAAGCUGUUUAGACUUUAUCAGCUAACUGUUUAGUUUUGAGCUUUUCUUUAAUGCACUUUUCAGUUAACAAGUCAACAUCAAUUUCUUUUGCUGUAAAAAAGCUUGAGGAAGGUGGCUUGAGAUUCGUCUUAAGUGUUUAUAGCCUCUUGCCUAUGCAGUCGGAGAGAUUGAGGUCUGCAGCGUAGAUCCUUCGGGGCUAAAUGCAUUUGUGCUAAGUUAUAGCAUUUUAUAGACAACUUAGUUGACUAUGAUUUGUCUUGUAGCUUACUCGCUUAUGUUAUUUUACCUACGCUUAGGAUGUUGACGCAUGAGAUAUACGC
rnacentral:rRNA from 1 species